ACUCAAAGGAAUUGACGGGGACCCGCACAAGCGGUGGAGCGUGUUGUUUAAUUCGAUGGUAAGCGAAGAACCUUACCAGGGUUUGACAUCCUAGGAAUUACUAUGAAAGUAGUGAGUGCUUUAUUGAACCUAGUGACAGGUGUUGCAUGGCCGUCGUCAGCUCGUGUCGUGAGAUGUUUGGUUAAGUCCAUCAACGAGCGCAACCCUUAUGGUUAGUUGUAUUUUUCUAGCCAGACUGCCCCGGUAACGGGGAGGAAGGAGGGGAUGAUGUCAGGUCUGUAUUACCCUUACACCCUGGGCUACAAACGCGCUACAAUGGCCGGUACAAUGGGCAGCUAAGCCGCGAGGCAGUGCAAAUCUCAUCAAAGCCGGUCUCAGUUCGGAUUGCAGGCUGAAACUCGCCUGCAUGAAGCUGGAAUCGCUAGUAAUCGGAGGUCAGAAUACUCCGGUGAAUACGUUCCCGGGUCUUGUACACACCGCCCGU
rnacentral:rRNA from 1 species